GACGAACGCUGGCGGCGUGCUUAACACAUGCAAGUCGAACGGAAAGGCCCUGCUUUUGUGGGGUGCUCGAGUGGCGAACGGGUGAGUAACACGUGAGUAACCUGCCCUUGUCUUUGGGAUAACUUCAGGAAACUGGGGCUAAUACCGGAUAGGAGCUCCUGCUGCAUGGUGGGGGUUGGAAAGUUUCGGCGGUUGGGGAUGGACUCGCGGCUUAUCAGCUUGUUGGUGGGGUAGUGGCUGACCAAGGCUUUGAGGGGUAGCCGGCCUGAGAGGGUGACCGGGCACAUUGGGACUGAGAUACGGCCCAGACUCCUACGGGAGGCAGUGGGCGGGAAUAUUGCAGAAUGGGCGGAAGCCUGAGGCGGCAGCGCCGCGUGCGGGAUGACGGCCUUCGGGUUGUAAACCGCUUUCGCCUGUGAUGAAGCGUGAGUGACGGUAAUGGGUAAAGAAGCACCGGCUAACUACGUG
rnacentral:rRNA from 1 species